CAAGUCCACAGCAAUAAGAGUUAAUAGAAAUCAUAGUGAGGAGAACAAGUGGUACCGUA
rnacentral:misc_RNA from 1 species